GGGCUGGCUUUAGCUCAGCGGUUCCUUCGCCAGAAAACUUGCAAUCAUCUCGGUGGUUCGAGACCCGCGGGCGCUCACCAGUCCUUUU
rnacentral:vault_RNA from 17 species